GACAUGAAGUGGAUGAUUGCAAAAGCAUGGACAGAUGCAAGAUCUGGGAAAAUAGCUAACUCAUUGCAGGGAUACCGGUGAAAUUCCCUCAGCCUGAUGAUCAAAUGGUAGAAAUUGGAGGUUUACCAGUAAUGCAUCUAGGAGUUUGAUUAUACUGAAUGAGUGGUACACUUGAGAAAGUUACUCUAAGGGUGUCCUCAGAUGUUGCUGCUGAAAUUUAGCUACCAGAUGAAUUGCUUUCAUUUGAGAAAAAACUCCCAUUUGAGCGACUAACUUCUGAGUGGGCUUCAUUUAAUAAAAUAAAAUAAAAUAAAAAGCUAUUCACAAGGUAGUGCAUCUGUUGUAGUCCAAAAUCCAUGUUAGUUAAUUCUCUUCAACUAUCAAUUAUUUAUUUAUUUAUUGUACACAUUUGGCCUUGCUGAUGAUAGUACCAACCUGAUUUGUAGGUAAUGACACAGUGGUCCCCUCCUGAUGAGUGGCAUGGAUCUUGUUUGGAUGUGUUACGUUUCCAUCUCUAAUUAGGGUAGCCUCUGCAUUGCUUGUCAACCAAAUAAUCCCGAUGCCCCUACUUACGUGAGCCUUUGAUAUUGUGGACCCAUUAGUGUGGAACGGUCAGCUUUCCUCAGUGGGAGCAACUGGUUGUAGAAUCACUCGAACUUGUAUCUAUUAAAAUCAUAAAACGAAAUUCGAUAUGUUUAAGAGCCUGUUUGCACACAACUGGUGUUGAACUGCAGAUCAGUUGAAUAGGAUUAGAAUUAGCUUCAUCCAUUCGUUUCAAGUGGGGAGAUGAAAGAAAAUUGGUAGGAGAACUGCUGGAUUCUGCCAGCUUCCAGCUUCCAUCCCUGAAAGUAUUUGAGAUGUGUGCACCGUCUCAUAUUUGAAUCCCCUUUCCUAUAACAAAUCUGAAAAACUUAGAUUUUUUUAUUUUUAUUUUUUAUUUUUAAUCCCAUAUUCUGUCAUUCCUAACACACCUUCGGAAUUUUAAAUUUGGAGAAAAUGAGGAGGUAUGGCCAGAAUUACCCCCUCAGUUCAUGGAGAUUGCCAGAGUGGAUUAAAGGUAAAAGAUGUCUUUUCUUUUGGUGUUAAACCAAAAAAUGGUAACACCUAUUUGAGAUUGGACUAUUGGCAGCAACGAAAGCCUGCUAAACGAAAAACAAGGAAAGAAACUAACUGUUAAUAAAAACCCACUUAACUUCCACUAACGAGCUCAACAAUGUAUAUCCAUCCCAAGAAAAUACAAGCACAAUUACAUCUCCAACUCAUCUAUGAAAGGCUGAAAACCAAUCACCAUCGUUAAGGGCCUGCAGUUCUAUAGAUUGCAACUCAUUUAUUCCUGCAACAACCUGCUACAGUCUACAGCUAGGCAAAGGUAGUAGAGUAAGAUAUGUGGGUCCACUAAAUUCGCUUAACAAUUGGAUGAAUGUAGUAAGUAGUAACUAUGAGUUGGUUCGAUCAUGUUGCUCCAUGGAUGGUGCUCUUUGACGCAACAUUUAGGUCUCAGGUGUGAUCCCAAUUUACCUACCCACAUAAAAAAAGGGGGAAGAAACUACUAUUUGGUGGAAUAUACAAUAUAUUGGAGUUUUCUCCUAUGCUUUAUUGGCAUGGAGGGAGGGGCUGGAGCUGGCUAGACUUCGUGAUAUUAAGAAAUAAUUUGAGUAUUAAAAAAUUAUGAGUCUUAAUGCUCUCUAAAUGUCCAACUAAGUCUUAAAAAUUGAUAUAACAAAAAAUAUUAAUCCAAACAUGAAAACAUGACACAACAGUUUCAUGUUUUUAUGUUUUAUUUGGAGAAUUCAUCACUGUUGCUAUGUGCAACAUUUUACUUUUCUGUCUGAGUUACAGUUCAUUUGCAGCAACAUGGAGCACCUAUGAAGUCUCCUGGUUCUCGGCUUCAACUUUGAGAUGUUAUGUUGUAAGGUCGUAGGAUCCAGCUGCCUAUUGUGUUUUCUAAGAUGUUUAUGUUUUGCUUAUAAUUUCAAUUGAUGCUUCUGUUGAUGAUUGGAGCAUCGUGAUGCUUUUAUGUGAUUAGAUUCCCAUAGUUUACUAAUUUUUCAUGUUCAACUUGAAUAUAAAGAAAUUGUUGCUUA